rnacentral:rRNA from 1 species
GAUGAACGCUGGCGGCGUGCUUAACACAUGCAAGUCGAACGAUGAAGCCCAGCUUGCUGGGUGGAUUAGUGGCGAACGGGUGAGUAACACGUGAGUAACCUGCCCUUAACUCUGGGAUAAGCCUGGGAAACUGGGUCUAAUACCGGAUAGGAGCGUCCACCGCAUGGUGGGUGUUGGAAAGAUUUAGCGGUUUUGGAUGGACUCGCGGCCUAUCAGCUUGUUGGUGAGGUAAUGGCUCACCAAGGCGACGACGGGUAGCCGGCCUGAGAGGGUGACCGGCCACACUGGGACUGAGACACGGCCCAGACUCCUACGGGAGGCAGCAGUGGGGAAUAUUGCACAAUGGGCGAAAGCCUGAUGCAGCGACGCCGCGUGAGGGAUGACGGCCUUCGGGUUGUAAACCUCUUUCAGUAGGGAAGAAGCGAAAGUGACGGUACCUGCAGAAGAAGCACCGGCUAACUACGUG